AAAGCAUUGCGAUGGUCCCU
rnacentral:snRNA from 1 species